CUAGGUACAUAUUAGCAAUGUGAGAUCAUGCUAGAGAGCAUGCGUAUUAACCUAUUAUUGAUAGGGUAAGCUAAUGUCAUAAAGAGGCAUUGGGCUUGGAAUUGGUAUAUUAAGCUAAUGUCAUAAAGCGACAUUGAGCUUGGGACAUGUAUGAACCUAGUAAAUAAUGCCAUAAAGAGGCAUGAAAAUUGGAACAUGCUUGGAUAUAGUAAUGUUCUAGUGCCCUAAAGAGGCACUAGACAUAGUGAAUGUUGGAACUUCACUUGGGGAUAUUAAACUAGACCUAUGAGUUGCUAGCGAUCAUUUCCAUGGUUGAGCCAUGAUGGCCGGAUCGUUGUGACAAUGACUAUGCUUGCUCGCUCGUGCG
rnacentral:lncRNA from 1 species